CUGCCCAGCUUUCGUGUCUACCUCCUGAGCUAAUUGUGCUGUCUGGAGGUUGGCAGGCUUCCAGCCUUACCUGGACCAGUUUUGCUCCCAAACCCAGGUUGCCUGUGUAUUCACUUAUUACAUCUAACCACUGUGAAAUCAUUCACAGACUUUGGAAAUCACAUAUGUAAGACACACAGAAUAUUCCAAUCGCAGUUCCAACAGCUCUGUGACUUUGCUUGGGUGACUUAAGCGAGCUAAGGCUCAGGAGUGUACUCUGCUGCAGGGAGAUGGUGACACCUGUGCUGGCUGUUGCACGUCUUCCAUGAGAUGAUGAGGAAACAGAAGCUUGGAGAUGUGAGUGAACAUUUCCAAGGUCCUGCAGCUAAUCAGUGGCCGAGCUUGUGAAGAAACCCAUAGCUUUCAAACUCUGAAACUGAUGCUCCUUAGAUUCACUAGGCUACCUCACUUACCGCCUAAGUGAAAUCAUCAUGGAGGGCUCCUUGUCCACCUCUUUGCAAUGACCCCAAGGAUCUGAGACAUAGCUACCUCUCGACAAAGGCAAUAACAUCACAUCUAGGAGGGGUAGUAGAUUGAUUCUUGAAUUAGGCUGCUUGAGCUAGUACUCGCGCUCUGCUGUUCACAUGCUAUGUGGCUUGGGGGCAAAUUACUGAAACGCUUUGUACUUCAGUUCCCUAAUCUGGGGGAAAAAAAGGUGUGGAUAAUACAUAUACCUAACUCACAGGUUUUGUGAGAAUUAAAUGAAAUGGAAAGUGGUUUGCCUAAGGCCUGGAAAAAAUAAUUAUUCAAUAUGUCUAUACAUUUUCUCAUUUUAUUUGGAGCUUGCAUCAUGUUUAGUUAUUCAUUUCUUUAGUAGAAAGCCACCCAGAGAAAAGCAUGCAGGUUUCUUAUGAGAGGAAAAAAUAAAUGCUUGUGAGCACAAUUAGAUACACCAAGGAAGACGUGGGUAACCCAGUGGGAGAGCAUUGUUAAGGUGGCUGAUCAUGCUUCCUUGUUUUUGUUUUUUCCCAAACAAAUUAGAGAUUCCAAAUUAAGGAGCAAGACUAGAACAAAGGUGAAAAUUAUGAAAAAUUUCUGUGAAGCCCAAUGCUCUAUAGUAACCAGUUAGCAAAAAGCUAUUGAGGAGAAAGGAACCAGACUAAUGCAAUGUCUUUUUGCUAUAGUUAAUUCCAUCACUGUGAUUACCACCAGCAUAUUUUCAAAAAAGAGAAUAUUUAAGAGACUCAAUUCUGAUAAAAGUUGGGUGCUAUAUAGUCUCAAAAGUGAGCUAUGAAACCCUGUCCCAAGCUAGAAAAAACAAGUUUGCUGUCUUGUGAGAGUAUUCUAAAAAAAAAUUUUUUAAAAAAUCUGUUUCUUACUAAUUAUUUGAUUUACACUGAACAUUUUGAAUUUUCCAUUAUGUGAAGGGUCUAAAGUCUUUUGCCAAGAGCAAUGAAAAUGGUGGGAAGGAAAAAAAAAACCACACACACACAAAACACCCUUUGUAUAAAUUUCACCAAUUUCUGCACAGUUAGAAUACAUAUUAGUUUUUCUUGCAUCAGUAGAAAACAUGUUUUCUUGUAUCAAUAGAAAACAUGCUGAUGGAGGGAAUCCAUUCUGGAUAUGUCAAAACAGGACCUUUCCCAAACAACUCAGACCAUUUAAAAUUGCUCCUUAAAAUAGAAGCUUAUUUUUCCCUUUUAGAUUUUGCUCUUCAGGGAUUGGAGCUCAUGACGAUGCUCCCUCUGUGACAUUGUAUUUCAGGGACAUUUUAUUAAGCAUUUCACCUUCAGUAGUGAUAGCAUCCCUUGCUGUUUGGGAGGUGGGGUGGGAUUGAUGAAAAUAAAGGUUAGCCCUUCCUGAUCUCCCCGGGGGCCAUGUUGUCUCAGUUUUGAUCAUUUCCCCCAAAUUAAGAUUUCUGCAUAAACCCCCGUGUCUGUGUUUGGCUGGCAGUUUUAUGGCUGACCAAAUUGUGCACUGGCCGCUGUUCUGGUUGGCUGAAUGUUUAUACAGGCUGUUAAUCAGAUCGGGGAGGGGGCUGUGGAUAUGGGGACUGUCUGUGAGCCGGAGCGGUCCUGUUUGCUGUCGUGUGCAAGGGCCUGCACUUUGUUACUACAAAUUACAUAAUGACAUGUUACAUUUCAAAGUGUAUUUUUACUUCAGGGAAAAUUAAACCAAUAAACAAACAACCCUGGUGGAAAAAAAAAAAGAAAAAAGAAAAAAUAAGAUCCCUGGUUUCCAGAUCUUCCUCUUCGAAAAGGUUCUUAAUUAAAUUGUAGCUAUAAACAAAUCUUUGUUUUAUUGCAAAGAGAGCAAUUGUGUAUAGAAGCUAUUUUUAAAAAUUAGGAUGUGAACAUUUGCUGGACAAGGGUCUGGUCCGUGUUACGUAUUUUAUGAUCUGUACAAAAUGAAAAGGCAAGCUUGUGUGGUGAUGGUAGAUUUUCAAUUUUUGAUUGCUAAUCCCUCUCAAAUGUUACUCCUGCCUUGCUUGAAUAGAGCCUGUAAACACAGGAAUUACCUUAAUUUUUCCAGGUACUGAUUCAAGCAAAACUGCUUAGCAUAAGCAUGAAAUUGCCGACUGAAUUUUUAGUCAUGUAGAAAAUCAGUUCUUUUCUUCAUACUAUCUGCAUUUUAGGAACUUUGAAAUUGUUGAAAAACAAAACUAAACCAACCUUCUAACUCAACUUCCAAACUUUUCACUGCACACUUAUGCAUGCAACAUUAAUUCUUUUCUGUAAGCUGUUCAAAUUAAGUAUAUGUUCAGGAUCCAAGUUUAUAAUGA